UCCGGAGAGGGAGCCUGAGAAACGGCUACCACAUCCAAGGAAGGCAGCWGGCGCGCAAAUUACCCACUCCCGGCACGGGGAGGUAGUGACGAAAAAUAACAAUACGGGACUCUUUUGAGACCCCGUAAUUGGAAUGAGUACACUCUAAAUCCUUUAACGAGGAUCUAUUAGAGGGCAAGUCUGGUGCCAGCCGCCGCGGUAAUACCAGCUCUAAUAGCGUAUAUUAAAGUUGUUGCGGUUAAAAAGCUCGUAGUUGGAUCUCAGUUCCAGACGGGCGGUCCGCCUAACGGUGGUUACUGCUCGGCCUGAACAACCAGUCGGUUUCCCUAGAUGAUCUUCACUGGUUGUCCUGGGUGACCGGCACGUUUACUUUGAAGAAAUUAGAGUGCUCAAAGCAGGCGUAUCGCCUGAAUAAUGGUGCAUGGAAUAAUGGAAUAGGACCUCGGUUCUAUUUUGUUGGUUUUCGGAACACGAGGUAAUGAUUAAGAGGGACAGACGGGGGCAUUCGUAUUGCGGCGCUAGAGGUGAAAUUCUUGGACCGCCGCAAGACGAACUACUGCGAAAGCAUUUGCCAAGAAUGUUUUCAUUAAUCAAGAACGAAAGUUAGAGGUUCGAAGGCGAUCAGAUACCGCCCUAGUUCUAACCAUAAACGAUGCCAACCAGCGAUCCGCCUGAGUUCCUCAAAUGACUCGGCGGGCAGCUUCCGGGAAACCAAAGUCUUUGGGUUCCGGGGGAAGUAUGGUUGCAAAGCUCAAACUUAAAGAAAUUGACGGAAGGGCACCACCAGGAGUGGAGCUUGCGGCUUAAUUUGACUCAACACGGGACAACUCACCCGGCCCGGACACUGGAAGGAUUGACAGAUUAAGAGCUCUUUCUUGAUUCAGUGGGUGGUGGUGCAUGGCCGUUCUUAGUUGGUGAAGUGAUUUGUCUGGUCAAUUCCGAUAACGGGCGAGAUUCUAGCCUACUAAAUAGGCGUCCCGAUCAACUUUGUCGGGCGUUCUUCUUAGAGGGACAAGCGGCUUCUAGCCGCACGAAACAGAGCAAUAGCAGGUCUGAAAUGCCCUUCGAUGUUCGGGGCCGCACGCGUGCUACACUGAAGGAAUCAGCGUGUGUUUUCCCUGUCUGGUAGGACUGGGUAACCCGCUAAACCUCCUUCGUGAUAGGGAUAGGGGCUUGCAAUUGUUCCCCUUGAACGAGGAAUUCCCAGUAAGCACGAGUCAUAAGCUCGUGUUGAUUACGUCCCUGCCCUUUGUGCACACCGCCCGUCGCUGUUACCGAUUGAAUGAUUUAGUGAGGUCUUCGGACUGGCGCUCGGAGCGACCUUCGGCCGUGCCGACGUGCCGGAAAGAUGACCAAACUUGAUCAUUUAGAGGAAGCAAAAGUCGUAACAAGGUUUCCGUAGGUGA
rnacentral:rRNA from 1 species